rnacentral:lncRNA from 1 species
CUUUCCACGGAGGUCAGGGAGGACGUCCGCAAGCUCCGGUUGAAAGACAAGCAUGCAGGCCUAAAGGGAGAAGGAGGCAGUGGAUCAGAGGUUCUCGCAGCUUACAUGGGAAAAUACUCUCAAUGCCAAAAGCUUCUAGGACCCGUGAGAGGCUCAGCAGGGUGCUACAGUGCCAGGGAUGAAGAAGAUGGCCACAGGACUCUGGAUGCUGAGUUCCGUGAUGUAGGUGAUUUUGAUGAGGACUUUAGCCCGAGGGGGUUUCUGAAAGACCUUACAGGGAUGCCUUCUGUGUUACGGCUUGGUGAAAGGUGGACAUACUGAUAGACCCUGUUGACUGACCUGAGGACCGGGCCAUGACUGGAGCAUGGGAAAAAGACAUUUUACAGAGGGAUACUGUCUACUCCCAAUGUGUGUGUUCUCUUAUCAGUCUGGCAGUCGAGUGCCUGGUGGCAGUACCAGUUCUUCUGCUUCACACAACAGCGACUUCAUUUCCUCCUUUAGACAACGCACGUGGCCACAGAAGAUACACACCUGGGCUACGAAGUCUAUUACUCUUCCCUUAAUGUGAACACUGUCAAGAGGAACAGGAUUCGCAGAUGCAUCCUGAAGGCCGGCUUUGAUGUUUGUGAAGGGCUUGAUGUCUGGUAACUGGAAAUCUACAAGUUACAAACACAACGUCAGCUUCAGAACAAGCAUGGCUCCGUCUUCAUCGUUGGCAUCCUUACUACUUGCUCUAUUAUUGAGACAUUAUACUUCAGCAGAGAUGGACAAAUAGUAUUACACUCAUAGUAUUCGAUGAGCUUUUUGUUCAAGAUAA